rnacentral:rRNA from 1 species
UAGAGCGGCGGACGGGUGAGUAACACGUGGACAAUCUGCCCCCCGGCCCGGGAUAGCCCAGGGAAACCUGGAUUAAUACCGGAUGAGACGGGACCCGCGAUGGCGGGACCCGGGAAAGGCGCUGCGGCGCCGCCGGGGGAUGAGUCUGCGUCCCAUUAGCUAGACGCGGGUAACGGGCCCACCGUGGCGACGAUGGGUAGCCGGCCUGAGAGGGUGGACGGCCACAUUGGAACUGAGACACGGUCCAGACUCCUACGGGAGGCAGCAGCUAAGAAUCUUCCGCAAUGGGCGAAAGCCUGACGGAGCCGACGCCGCGUGAACGAAGAAGGCCGUGAGGUUGUAAAGUUCUUUUCGGGAGGGGGAACAACCGUGGCAGGGAAUGGCCGCGGGAUGACGUGAAUCCCGGAAUAAGCCCCGGCUAACUACGUGCCAGCCGCAGC